UAGGGAAUCUUCCGCAAUGGACGCAAGUCUGACGGAGCAACGCCGCGUGAGUGAAGAAGGUUUUCGGAUCGUAAAGCUCUGUUGUUAAGGAAGAACGAGUGUGAGAAUGGAAAGUUCAUACUGUGACGGUACUUAACCAGAAAGGGACGGCUAACUACGUGCCAGCAGCCGCGGUAAUACGUAGGUCCCGAGCGUUGUCCGGAUUUAUUGGGCGUAAAGCGAGCGCAGGCGGUUAGAAAAGUCUGAAGUGAAAGGCAGUGGCUCAACCAUUGUAGGCUUUGGAAACUGUUUAACUUGAGUGCAGAAGGGGAGAGUGGAAUUCCAUGUGUAGCGGUGAAAUGCGUAGAUAUAUGGAGGAACACCGGUGGCGAAAGCGGCUCUCUGGUCUGUAACUGACGCUGAGGCUCGAAAGCGUGGGUAGCAAACAGG
rnacentral:rRNA from 1 species